rfam:Solenopsis invicta Si_gnG.contig02129, whole genome shotgun sequence.
CAAACGGCCCUUUUUAGGGCCACCAUAAGACUUAUACCGAGGAAC